UUUUAAAACGGUUGUUAUGUGGUUGUCAUUAGAACUUUUCCUUGUUUUAAUUUAACCUUUGGUUGUAGUUCAGUAAUAGCUUUAAAUACCGAACAGAUGAGCGAUUAUUAUUUUUUUUUCUUUCUCUCUUUCCCCUUGUUUAAAGUUCUUAAUUGUAGUGGACUGGAUUAUUAGCGAAGAAUCAAAUUAAGUUUAGCAUGAUCUGUACAGAUUAAGACGGUGGUAGAUUGAUAAAUUCGAAUAUUUUAAAUAGUCAUUUCUCAUGAGGAACAAACAGAGCAGAGGAAGAGGUUGUAGCACUCAUGAGCAACAGAACAUUAAGGAUCAUUUUUACUUGGAAACCGGAGUGGCAAACCCGCUUGAUAAUUCAUCUACAAUUACCACCUGCCCAUUUCAGAAUUUCCAGUUUAAUUAGCAUAGUCGACGAAAUUAUCUAGAAAGUUUGUUUGGUCCAUACGAUUGUGUUGCAGUUGUCAUUACCAUCUUUGAAGAGAAAAUCUUCAUUUCAGCGGCUACCAGAAUCUCAUUAAUGACUAAAACAGACAUCACGCGACUCGACACAGCAUCCCUUUUAGCUCGAUCGCUGUUUAAUUCGUAUGAACUUUCAUCUCUACUCCGCUGGCGACUGGGCGGGACACUACAUAUGCCAUUUUCUCACACGCUUCUUUCUAUAUAUUAUCAUCACCGUUUUCUCCUUGCCCAUUCUAUCCGCAAAGUAUCGUUAAUGAUUGCUUUUGCCCGUAUACUAAAAUACCUUAAUUUAUUUUGGGACAUGUAUCGGCAGUUAGAUGAUCGGUUUUGCCAAUAAGUGGAACACGAAAUUUUCCAACGUCCGCAACUCUUUGUCUAAACCGUCUGCUUUCUAGUAGACACUGCUAAGAGAGAGUUGCAAAGCGAAACUGUGCAUAAGUUAAAGGAAGAUAUUUCUCGUCUCUGUCGAUAAUUUGAUACGCUGUUAAUCUAGGUUAUUAGAAUUAAAAGUUCUUUUUUUUUUUCUAUUUGGUCACUUUUAAGUUACUUUGGGGAAUGGUUGCGAUACACACCCCAAAGUCAGUGGAUUGAUGGAGAAAAGUGUUGUGACGUAAUCAGCGGAAGUUUCACGCGAUCCGGAAUCAAGUUCAUUAGAAUUCAGAAAGUUGAUGAUUGUAGACGGACAUGCAAACCUCUCUCACCCCAUUGAUUGCCCGGUUCUCGUGUGAGUCAGGUCAAUUUUCAUUAAUUAGUGGCUGUAUUGGACACUAACCCCGCUUUCUCUUAGGACGUUCCUAGGGAAUAAUUUUAACGCUCUUAAGGUUAAAACUUUUGUACGGAAAAUUGCCUAGUUCAUUGAUCAAAAAUCUAACUUUCACGUAAUAUGUUUUUUGUUCUCCUCCUCCUCCAACAGUAACGUGAGUGACGGAACAAUGCAAUAAAUCUUCAUUAAUUUUACACAAUAACCGCGAUUUUUUCUUCAUUACUAAAUAUUUUAAUAUGUGAAAAAAUUCUCAGAAGCUUCAAAUCCGAUACCGUUUUUAACCUUUGUCAUUUGUGGCUGGAGGCUUUAUUUAGUCGUUUUUGGCCGAAAAGUUGUUUUUUUUUCCUUUAGUAAAAUAAUUAUAGGUGUUAUCUCUUUGGGCAAAUAACCUAUUUCUCCUCAGAUGACACGCUAGUAAGCAGUGGUCCAUGAUUAAUGCAACUCUUUCCAAUUUCGCUUUUCCUCGCUACACCGAUAGUCAUUUAGUGUCUGCUCAAUCGGUCACAGCCAACAGCGCAAUCGUCUGUCUACUUAACUAUUUAUACGGCUAUUUUUCAUACAAGUGAGAAAUUCAAAUUGCAAUCGUCCAUUAGCAUCUCUCUCUCUCUCUCUCUCGUUCUCCAUACGGUAGCGCUGUAAAUUGGAUCAGAACGGCAAUGAUACCUUCCUUCUAAAUGUUAAUCUCAUUACGGCUAUUAACGACGUCUUAAGCGUGAUCAUGAAUAAACCACAACAAAACUGGACAAGUGCAUCGCAUAUAUAUAGUUUAGUCAAUCUCUCGGUAAGACAAGCUGAUGGCCAUACUUUAAAGACGAGAGAGAGUAGCACGUUAAUGGAUAAUGUUGUGUCGACCAAUUCGGGCAUUCAUUACGUUGUUUGUCCUUAGCGACGAGAUAAUCUGACCGCCGGCGUUGCAUUAAUCACGAAACUUGGGUUAAUUUACACUUGAUCCUUGUCUAAUGAAGGUGAUUUUUUUAUAGUGGAGCCGCUUCUCUCAUUGCGACGCCGGCUCUACUCUGCUAAUAUCGUUACUGUUCGUUUGUUAGGAGGUAUAAGCAAUAUAUGGCACCUCCCGUAAUUAUGAUGUAUCUAGACUAAUGCGGAAUGCCAUGGUUUCGCACCGCCUACUUUGAUGUUCAAGAGUUGAUGAGUAAAAGCGACUCGGUUCCUUUGUAAUUCAGCCGACUCAAUUGGCAACCCAGAUGAUAAUUGUCUAAGUUAGUCGGCGUGGAAAAAGAAGUCGAACAGAAUUUUUUUUUAUUUUAUUUUGUACAGGGUUGUAAACGCAAAUUUCAGAAGGACGGCUGUAAAAAGAAAAAAAGGGGGAAAUUGAUAUUUUUCUUGGUUUCUAAUCUGAAAAAUGCUCGUUUUGACACCAUAUCUCAUCGCUCCCUCUCCAACGACUAUUAAGCCAGCGACACAGUUACUACUACCCUUUAGCGAGAAUGACGCUUUAAGUAUGCAUCCCGAUGGCUUUUUCUAUCUGCAUGAACGAUGAAACUCCGCUUUCUGCUAUGCAAUCAUUCGCUGUCACGCAUCCCGCGCAAUAAAUCAUUUCGCAAAACAAAACAGUUUCCGAAUCUCCCAAUAUCCUAGUUGUAAGAGAGCUAAAAGAUUUUUAAGAUGAAUCUGGGUAAUGACGACGUAAAAUUGUGCUCCAAAUUAAUUUCUCAGUCUUUUUUUCUUCUUCCACUGACGUAUUAAAAAAUUAAAAAAAAAAAAGCGAGACAGAAUUAACACCGAUAAGGAUUUAAAAGUUAUUCUACCUGUAUGCCUACUUCGUCAUCGAAGAAUUCUUAUUAAAAAUUUAAUUAAGACUGACUUGUUGCCCUAAAGCACCAGAGCUUUACCUACCUACCUACCUCUCUCUCUCUCUUUCUCAAUUUUUUUCUUCCUCUCUAACUUUUCUUUUUCUUUAUAGCCUAAUUUUCCUUCACUCGUUUUCUAGUUACACUUCUCUGCCAACACUAAGAGGGGAUGUAUGCAGCAAUUACUUUUUUUCCCCCUACAUACUUUACAUAGUAUUAAGUAUAGAGAGAGCAAGCUUUUCUUGUUUACGAGCUACUCAGACGAACAAUUAAAAUCCCUGUCAAUUAAAAUUAACCGUGUUGCUUUGAUUUGAUAUGGAAAUUCGGAACCGGCGCGUUAAUAAAUUAGCGAAUGUUUAUCGAACGAAUAAUUAAUAAAUCAUUAACAGAUAGAGACCGUACACGUUUUUAUAUAUCAUUUUCUCUCUCUUUUUUUUAUAGGUAAGACAACGAGCAGCCACAGUCGACAUCUUAUAAAAAUCGGAUGGAGGAAGUUUCGGAAUUUAUUAUAGACGAAGAAGAUUUCGUCGUUAUCGAC
rnacentral:lncRNA from 1 species